rnacentral:rRNA from 1 species
CCCUUAGAUGUUCUGGGCCGCACGCGCGCUACACUGAUGCAUUCAACGAGUUUCUUCCUGGUCCGAGAGGAAUGGGUAACCUUUUGAAAGUGCAUCGUGAUAGGGAUAGACUAUUGCAAUUAUUGGUCUUCAACGAGGAAUUCCUAGUAGACGUAGUUCAUCAGACUGCAUCGAUUACGUCCCUGCCCUUUGUACACACCGCCCGUCGCUCCUACCGAUUGAAUGCUCAGGUGAGUCAUUCGGACUUUCAUCAUGCUGGUUUCCAGUUUUGAUGAAGGAAAGUCUUGCGAACCUUAUCAUUUAGAGGAAGGAGAAGUCGUAACA